UACCAGACUCCUACGGGAGGCAGCAGUGGGGAAUAUUGCACAAUGGGGGAAACCCUGAUGCAGCGACGCCGCGUGAGCGAUGAAGUAUUUCGGUAUGUAAAGCUCUAUCAGCAGGGAAGAAGAUGACGGUACCUGACUAAGAAGCCCUGGCUAACUACGUGCCAGCAGCCGCGGUAAUACGUAGGGGGCAAGCGUUAUCCGGAUUUACUGGGUGUAAAGGGAGCGUAGACGGCGAUGCAAGCCAGAUGUGAAAGCCCGGGGCUCAACCCCGGGACUGCAUUUGGAACUGUGUGGCUGGAGUGUCGGAGAGGCAGGCGGAAUUCCUAGUGUAGCGGUGAAAUGCGUAGAUAUUAGGAGGAACACCAGUGGCGAAGGCGGCCUGCUGGACGAUGACUGACGUUGAGGCUCGAAAGCGUGGGGAGCAAACAGGAUUAGAUACCCCAGUAC
rnacentral:rRNA from 1 species